rnacentral:rRNA from 1 species
UACGUAGGGUGCAAGCGUUAAUCGGAAUUACUGGGCGUAAAGCGUGCGCAGGCGGUCGUGCAAGACAGAUGUGAAAUCCCCGGGCUUAACCUGGGAACUGCAUUUGUGACUGCUCGGCUGGAGUGCGGCAGAGGGGGAUGGAAUUCCGCGUGUAGCAGUGAAAUGCGUAGAUAUGCGGAGGAACACCGAUGGCGAAGGCAAUCCCCUGGGCCUGCACUGACGCUCAUGCACGAAAGCGUGGGGAGCAAACAGG